rnacentral:rRNA from 1 species
GAUGAACGCUGGCGGCGUGCCUAAUACAUGCAAGUCGAGCGAAGCGGGGACGGGUUAGUAACACGUGGAUAACCUCCUAUAAGACUGGGAUAACUUCGGGAAACCGGACCUAAACCGGAUACUUGUCGAUGGAUCCGCUCUGCAUUAGCUAGUUGGUAAGGUAACGGCGUACCAAGGCAACGAGGCAUAGCCUACCUGAGAGGGUAAUCGGCCACACUGUAACGAGUACAGUGUCCAGAAUCCUACGGGAGGCAGCAGUAGGGAAUCUUCCGCAAUAGGCGAAAGCCUGCAGGAGCAACGACGCGUGAGAGAUGAAGGUCUUCGGAUCGUAAAACCCUGUUAUUAGGGAAGGGGUACCUAAUCAGACAGCCACGGCUAACUACGUGCCAGCCGCCGCGGUAAUUC